CUGAGAUUUGAAGGCUGAAAGUGAUUUACCCAGGGGAGUGAGCAAGUGAUCAGAAUGUAGGUCAAGGGAUCAGAAUGUGCAAAGGCAGUUUUUUCAAACUGAAGUUGGUGACAGUUAGUGGUUCAUGAAAUAAAUGUGAAAUCCAAACAAAAUCAGGACUGACAUUUAAAAGUAAAAUAGAAUGGAACAGAAAAUAUCAGAAGGCAUUGAAUCUGUGUAGUGAAAACUUGGACUUAAACCAUCACUGGCCCAUGGCAAGCUUUUGGGGACCAAUGGCCUGCAGAAUAAGAUCUUUGGGUCCUAAUGAGGAAUGUAAACCAGUCUGAUGGGGACCCACUCCUGAGAGCAGCCAGGCUGUACCUCCAUCUCUGGAACCGUGCCAGGAGGCUGUGUGCCUAAUCUGCUCAGAAAUCAUUCCUUUCUGUCUAUCACUGAAGCUUGAACACACUCCAGGAAUUAGGUACUAAUUAAUGUCAACACAUUACAAAUGAAAAAAGAAGGAAAUUGCUUGGACUCAUUCCUGAGGAAAUCUUCAGUAAUUCGCUUCAGUCAAAGUUAAUAUGUACCUCAGGGCAGCACUGAACCAAAUCAUAAAAUGCUGCUCAUGUGGAUGAGUGACCUGGAGGUGACCCAUGUUAGCCUCUUGACCGGUAUUUGUUUCCAUAUCAUGUCUAUUUUGUUAGGAUGCCGCUUACAAUGUUGGAUGACCUGGUUUGUGGUAUCAGACAGGCAAAGAAUACAGGCUAUGGCAAUAAGUUCUAGAGUGUCUACCACUACAAAAGUCUAGGGAAUGACUUUCAAAAAUGGCACUUUCUUGAUUUUAAUCCAUUGCUUCUUUAUGGAUUUCAAUGAAUAGCUUCUCCAAGAGUGGAACAAAUAGAUGGUUACAUGGAUCUUAGGAAGUCUUUCUCUUUUAAUCAGAAGUAGAUUCUAGUAUCACGGUUUUUAUGUCUAUAAAAUUAGGAACUGGACGCUAAAUCCAAAUAAUCACUUUGGGUAAUCAUGAUAACAAAUACGUACUAGUAUAUCAUGUUUGAUCUGAAGUUAUGAGAUUGAGUCCAAUACGUGAGAUACCAGUCAGGGGUAAGUCUGCAGUCAGGAACGGGAGACUCAUUCUGCAGCAAAAGCAGUUGGAGCUGCAAUAAACCAACAGGGGGUUCAAUUUUGGGUUCACUGUUCUUCAGACUUCUUUAUUAUAUUUUUCCCCUUUAAAGAUAACCUUGAUGUGCACUUUAUUAGACUUCAGCAGAAUAAGAAUGUCUGGACUUGGAUGGGUACGUACCCUGCUUGCUUUGCUCAGAACAUCAGCUCACUGGAGAAGACUCUAUGCUGUCUAAUCCCUCCAUCUCCAACGCUCAGCACAGCACCCGGCACACAGAAUGGGCCAAGAGUACUGAGUAAACGCACAUUACACAGUAAUGGAGGCAGACCAGAGUGUCAAACCAAGUUUUGACCAUAGUAGUAAACUCUUGAAGAACCCAUUUAAGUGCAUGGGCUUUGGAGUUAAAAAAAAAUCUAGAUUCCAGUCCUGACAACUUGUAUGGCCAUGGGUACCUAGCACAGAUUACACGUCAACCUCGGUCUGUGUGCCUUCUACAAACCACACCUGGUAGGGAGUGGAUAUGGAAGAACAUGCAAAUAAAAAAUUCAUGAAAGAUCUGGUUUAUUAAGAAA